rnacentral:lncRNA from 1 species
CAAGUCCCCGCGCGGCGGAGUAGCAAGGCGGGCGGGUAGAGGCCGACGCGCGCCCAUUGGCCGACUCGGCUGCGGGCGUCCCCGUGGCCACGUGACAAUAACACCGCUCCAGCCGGGGGCCUACGCGCGGGAGAAAGUGGAGCUGAGAUUGUAGGAAAUUCAGAGUUAUAUUUUCCAGCCUCUCCAGCCAGAAGUCUCCACUACGUCGUGGGAAACAUAUAUCAAAUGGAGUUGAAAGGCAAAAGGAAGUGAUCAGCGCCACAAGAUGUUGAAACUAAUGGAGACCGCAGAGAUCAUGUGCUAAGGGGCCUUCCUCCUCUGGGGUGGGAGAAGGAAUGUUCUCUGGAGAAAUCUGUAUGAUAGAAUAGUGAAGGUAACUGGCCUGAACUACAGCUCUUGAGCCAUCUGGUUUCACCUUCAGGGAGGUGCAGAGAGUGCUGGAAUGGAGGGUUAAUUGACCAUGGUGGAAAAGAGAGAAACAUUUUGAGCAUACUGUGAGAUUGACUAUAAAGAUGAACAUUAGGGAAAUGAAGAUGGAUUAAUGUUCUUGGCAGUCUCCAACAACCCCUGCCUUUCAUAGUCGCAGAUAAUUCUGGCUCACCUGGAUUCAAAUACUUGUAGACUUGACGCAAUCCAACUACCUAAGAUCCAAGUGCCCAAGAAACAACUUUCCAGGCUCAAAAAGGUGUCACUCGCUGGCUGUCAUAAUACUUGAAAUUUCUAUCACUAUAUCACUAUACUCAUUCUAUUAAUAUAAGCUGAUGGCUCCUCUAAAGUGUGAGUAUAUUACCUACAAAGGGGAACAAAUUAGCAUAUUAAAUUUAUUAUCAACAUGAGAUUAUACUGUAGUAUGGGCAGCACCCACUCAUUUACCCCUAAUUUUAUGUGUCCCUGCCGAAGAAGCAACUCUGCUUCCAGUCUUGCUACCUUUGACUGCUCAUUGGAGCAAUGGUUUCCACUGUCACUCCUCAUACCUGUUUCCACCUAGGAUGAACUGGCCAUACAAAGCGUAUUAAAUAGGGAGAGAUGAUGAAAACUGACCAUUGACAGGAGAAAGGAGAGAGAAUAUAGGGAAGUUUUACGACACAGAUACCUGCUUAGUGAGGGCAAGUCCAAGUUGGAUACUUUAGAGUGAGACUCCCAACAGCCAUGUGGACAGCAUGAAUAUGCCAAGAGUUUGAAAAAGGAGCCCCAAAUGGACUGGGGCCAGGAGAGUGAGAUGACAAAGACAGACUGAAUCUUUUACAGUUUUGAGCUUUCUUUGAGUACAUACUAGAGAUAUAACAGAACCAGGUGGAGGAAGGAGGCAGGGAAUCUAAAAUAUUUAUGAGCUUGAUAAGAUUGGAAGAGUUUAAAGCAGGAGGUGGAGACAAAUGAGGGUAGACUGGAGGGAGGGAUACAAGCAAGGGAGGGCAUCUUAAGAGUGCUUCAGAAGAGGCAGUGAUGUCAGUGGUGCAGGUGUGGAUCCAACUUAGACACCCUGUUCUUGUGGGUAAAUGCAUAUUUUCUUUUUACACGGCUGGGUUAAAUUACUUCCCCUAGGUCAUUCAAUUAAUCACUUGGAGAGCAAGGAAUAGAAUCCAGCUCUCAAGGCUCUCAUUUCACAUCUGGAGCAGGCAAACUAGGGUUCUCCUUUCUGAAACACCCUCUUUUUUUUUUUUAAGUCUUUUGCAAAUCAGUGAAGUUUUGAGCUCCUUUAUAAAGAAUUUAUGAAAUCCUGUUACUCUUUGCGUGAUUUAAAAUUAAGGUGGUGUUAGUACAAAAAAACACUAUAAAUUGCUUUUUGGUUUAUCUUCCAUUCAAAAAUUUAAAAUAUCUGUCAAAAUUUCUUUGAUUUUUUCCCUGCAG